AAAAGAAUCAAAGUCUAGCAGUACUCGAACCAUUAAAGGACAUAACAACCAUGUGGCUAUAACAACUACGAAAAAAUAGUAGCAAGCUACCAUCAAUGCCUCAAUAGAUUUGAUAAAAAAUAGUAGAAUAUUUAAAUUAGCUGACGCUUACCAUUUAAAUUCAUGGAAGGCAUUACAGCUAUACUAUCUUUCAGUCUAAUUACUGAAUCCAAG
rnacentral:misc_RNA from 1 species